rnacentral:rRNA from 1 species
UGCUCCUCGAAUGAAAAAUAUGGGGGGUCGGACCUGCCCGGUGACUAAGUGUUAAACGGCCGCGGUACCCUAACCGUGCAAAGGUAGCAUAAUCAUUUGCCUUUUAAUUGGAGGCUUGUAUGAAUGGUUUGACGAGAGCUGAGCUGUCUCUUUUGAAAUAUUUAAAAAUUAACUUUUAGGUGAAGAGGCCUAAAUGUUGUUGAGGGACAAGAAGACCCUGUUGAGCUUUAGUGGUGUGUAGAACGUCAAUGUUUUGGCUUAAAUUUAUGAGAAUUUUAAGCUUUUUUUGUUUGUCAGAAAAAUGUUUUUAUAUUAAUCUUUAGUUGGGGCGACUGAGGAACAUGGAAAGCUUCCUUUAAUAUAUAGUUAGUAAGUUGAUAAGUUGUUAAGAGUAUAUAUUUAUGCAGAUUAAUUAAAGAUCCAGUAAAGGAGUACUGAUUAAAGGAAAAAGUUACCACAGGGAUAACAGCGUAAUCUUUCCGGAGAGAUCCUAUCGAAGGAAGGGUUUGCGACCUCGAUGUUGGACUAAGAUAUCCUAAGGGUGUAGAAGCUCUUAAUGGUUGGUCUGUUCGACCAUUAAAAUCUU